GCGAGAACAAUCUUUCGCAUUGUCAAAGAUUAGGGUUUGCGUGACAUCAAUCUUCAUUUUACGAUCCAUUUAUCUGAAACUCAAACUUGAUACAUCAGCAUCACUUUCAAUCCAAAAAAUGACGAAGAGAACCAAGAAGGCAGGCAUUGUUGGAAAGUAUGGUACUCGAUACGGUGCUAGUCUGCGAAAGCAGAUUAAGAAGAUGGAAGUUAGUCAACAUAGCAAGUUUUUCUGCGAAUUUUGUGGAAAGUAUGCUGUGAAAAGGAAGGCGGUAGGAAUAUGGGGAUGCAAGGAUUGUGGGAAAGUGAAAGCAGGGGGUGCCUACACUUUGAAUACUGCAAGUGCUGUGACUGUGAGGAGCACCAUCCGAAGAUUGAGGGAACAAACCGAGAGUUAGCUUUUUGGUUGCUGUAACUCUCGAGAUUUUGGUCAAUUCUUUUCCCGGAUAGGAGUUGAGCAUAUUCUUCGUUACCUUAAAGGUCGACGAGUGCCUUAUAUGGCCAAACAAGAAAGUUGGCCCAUGAGGAAGAGAGUCCAAGAAUGAGCUUUGGAGGCCAGGAUCACUUGGAUGAAGGCAAAAGAUCAAUAAAAAUCAAUCACCACUACUACAAAAUAUACCUUUCGUAACACCAUAUUACUACAGCUGUUUAAGCAAUCGUAGUAAUAACUCAUCUUAACGCGCCUGAAUUUAUUUUUAUUUUAUUAAAAGAUAUUUCAUCACGAUUCAUAAUAACGAUUGUGGUGAUGAAUGAAAGGUUACAUGCUUCGAAUUCCAACACCAAUAAUUUUUUUUCUUUUUUUUUUACAAAAAAGGCUUGUCCAUAUUUUUUUAUAAAUAUAUUAGGCAAAAUACUCUUUUUAGUCCCGUAAGUUAACUUCGGGGUUCAUUUUGGUCCCUUAACUUCAAAAAGUUUCAAAUUGGUCCCUUAACUCUUCAAAAGGUUUCAUUUUAAUCUUUUUUGUCAUAUUAGUGACGGAAAAACUCAAAAAUCGGUCGCUAAAUCCGCCGCUAAUAUGCCAAAAAGGACUAAAAUGACACAUUUUGAAGAUUUAAGGGACCAAUAUGAAACUUUUUGAAGUUAAGAGACCAAAAUGAGCAUUGAGGUUAACAUACGGGACCAAAAAGGGUAUUUUGCCAAUAUAUAAAAAUUAAAAUGCCUAUCACAACAGUUACUAACAGAAACUGUUGUGAAUAAUACUUACAUUUUAUCAUGGUGUUUCUUAUCAAUCGUGGUGAUAAGUUAUAUUUAUAUGGUGUUGCGAGGAGUAAAGAAAAAGAAGCAAUCCACAUAUUUUAUAAUAAACUCAUAUAUUUGCCACCUCUGUUGGAAUAUACAACAGUGGUGAAAUGUUAAUAUUAUGCACGCUUUAACUAAAUUGUUGCUGUUGAGUUUCAAAUCCAUGAAAAAUAUAUAUAUAUAUAUAUAUAUAUAUAUAUAUAUAUAUAUAUAUAUAUAUAUAUAUAUAUAUA